CUUCAUUCCUCGCUGAAUGAAAGGCUUGUAUGAACCUACCCCAAAACACCAUAUAUAAAGAGCCGCGGCUCACCAAAGCCACACAGACACAGCAUAGGCAUGGACUGCUCAGAUGAAACCGCAACUCACGCCUCGUGGUGUCCGACUGUUCCUGAAGUCCAAACAGCGCAUUGGGCAUGGUCGCUGUCCGAGGUGCUGAAGGAAAGGGCCAAUUGGAUUCCAGACAGUUUUACUUUUUUAUUUCCGGUGGAUAAAUAUAUUUUUUUGUUUCAGAAGGAGAGUACAAUGAAUACAACAAAAUGUAUUUUUUGUUGUUGUUUUGUUUUCAAUAACUGUUUUUCAUUUAUUAAUGGACAAAUAUAAGAGAAUAAAAUCUUACACCGCUAGGAAUAAUGAUGAUGAUCUUGAUAGUUCUAAGGGAAUAACAUUUGCUUUGUUGUAUUGACGUAUGAAUAAUUUAUUAAAGAGCCAUCCACAGAU